rnacentral:rRNA from 1 species
GACGAACGCUGGCGGCGUGCCUAAUACAUGCAAGUCGAGCGGAACUGGGGGAGCUUGCUCCUUCCAGUUUAGCGGCGGACGGGUGAGUAACACGUGGGCAACCUGCCCUGCAGAUCGGGAUAACUCCGGGAAACCGGUGCUAAUACCGAAUAGUUUGGCGCCUCUCCUGAGGCGCUACGGAAAGACGGUUUCGGCUGUCACUGCAGGAUGGGCCCGCGGCGCAUUAGCUAGUUGGGGGGGUAACGGCCCACCAAGGCGACGAUGCGUAGCCGACCUGAGAGGGUGACCGGCCACACUGGGACUGAGACACGGCCCAGACUCCUACGGGAGGCAGCAGUAGGGAAUCUUCCGCAAUGGACGCAAGUCUGACGGAGCAACGCCGCGUGAGUGACGAAGGUUUUCGGAUCGUAAAACUCUGUUGUGAGGGAAGAACACGUACCAACUAACUAUUGGUACCUUGACGGUACCUCACCAGAAAGCCACGGCUAACUACGUGCCAGCAGCAGCCGCGG